rnacentral:rRNA from 1 species
ACGCGCUGAACCUUACCAGGUCUUGACAUCCUCUGACACUCCUAGAGAUAGGACGUUCCCCUUCGGGGGACAGAGUGACAGGUGGUGCAUGGUUGUCGUCAGCUCGUGUCGUGAGAUGUUGGGUUAAGUCCCGCAACGAGCGCAACCCUUGAUCUUAGUUGCCAGCAUUUAGUUGGGCACUCUAAGGUGACUGCCGGUGACAAACCGGAGGAAGGUGGGGAUGACGUCAAAUCAUCAUGCCCCUUAUGACCUGGGCUACACACGUGCUACAAUGGAUGGUACAAAGGGCUGCAAGACUGCGAAGUCAAGCGAAUCCCAUAAAACCAUUCUCAGUUCGGAUUGCAGGCUGCAACUCGCCUGCAUGAAGCCGGAAUCGCUAGUAAUCGCGGAUCAGCAUGCCGCGGUGAAUACGUUCCCGGGCCUUGCACACACCGCCCGU